CUCCCUAUAGUUGAAGGAGCACGCCUGGAAAGUGUGUAUACGGCAACGUAUCGGGGGUUCGAAUCCCCCCCUCACCGCCA
rnacentral:tRNA from 1 species